CAGUAGCCGCGGUAAUACAGAGGGUGCGAGCGUUAAUCGGAUUUACUGGGCGUAAAGCGUGCGUAGGCGGCUAAUUGAGUCGGAUGUGAAAUCCCCGAGCUUAACUUGGGAAUUGCAUUCGAUACUGGUUAGCUAGAGUGUGGGAGAGGAUGGUAGAAUUCCAGGUGUAGCGGUGAAAUGCGUAGAGAUCUGGAGGAAUACCGAUGGCGAAGGCAGCCAUCUGGCCUAACACUGACGCUGAGGUACGAAAGCAUGGGGAGCAAACAGGAUUAGAUACCCCAGUAGUCCCUGUCUCUUAUAA
rnacentral:rRNA from 1 species